CUGGUCUUGAACUCCCAGCCUCAAGCCAUCCUCCCGCCUUGGCCUUUCAAAGUGCUGGAUUACAAGCGUGAGCCACCGUGCACAGCCAAGACACAAUUUUAAAUCGAGCGGUCAGGAAGCCUCCUGGAGAAAAUGACGUUUGAACAAAGACAUGAAGAAAGUGGAGAAUAUUUGGAGAAAAGCAUUUCAGGCAGAGGAAAGUGCCAGGGCAGAGGCCCCGAGGAUAUGGGACUUCCUUGUGGACAUAAAAUGGCUGCUGCAGCUCCAGGCCACACAUGCACCUUCCAGGUAGAAAGAACUCACUAGGAAAGGCAAGAAGAAAACUGUUCUCCCUUAACAAGAACCUCCCCAGUUUCAGCUUUCUUUGUGGGGUAGUGGAGAGGCAGCAUUCAGAGAACCCAGAAUCAGACUCUGCUUAGAGAAGGUUGGCUUCUGGGGACAUCUUUUGAUCAUGUCUGCUCAAUGUCACCAUCUUAAGGCAGGAGGAAGCAACAGAAAACAGGGAAGCAGGUGUCCCAGGAGGAGCCCAAUGCCAUGGAAAGAUGGGAAAAGAGGUGGUGGAUGAGAUCCUGGAUUCUUAUAAACUUUAUCUACUCCACUUGCACAGAUGAUGGAGGAUUUGAGGAGUGUCAGUGAAUGCUCUGUGUGGACUGAACUUGGAGCAGACUGGGGCUGGAACUCUCCAGGGAGGGCAACUUUGACCGAGACAUCUUAGGGUUUGCCAAGUCCUCAGCAGAUGUUUUUUGAUGUGCCUUGAGAUCCUCAAAUGAGAAGGGCAGUGGGAUUCUUCCCUCUCCAGCCAGGACCACAUCUGUGCUUUUCUGUAAUUGUGUAAA
rnacentral:lncRNA from 10 species